rnacentral:rRNA from 1 species
GACGAACGCUGGCGGCGUGCUUAACACAUGCAAGUCGAACGGAAAGGCCCUGCUUUUGUGGGGUGCUCGAGUGGCGACCGGGUGAGUAACCCGUGAGUAACCUGCCCUUGACUUUGGGAUAACUUCAGGCAACUGGGGCUAAUACCGGCUAGGAGCUCCUGCUGCAUGGUGGGGGUUGGAUAGUUUCGGCGGUUGGGGAUGGACUGGCGGCUUAUCAGCUUGUUGGUGUGGUAGUGGCUUACCAAGGCUUUGACGGGUAGCCGGGCUGAGAGGGUGACCGGCCACAUUGGGACGGAGCUACGGCCCAGACCCGAACGGGAGGCAGGGGUGGGGAAGAGUGUACAAUGGGAGGAAGGCAGGUGCAGCAACGCCGCGUGGGGGAUGAGGGCCAGCGGUUAGUAUUGUGAUGUCGCCUGUGACGAGGCGUGAGUGACGGUAACGGGUAAAGAAGCACCGGCUAACUACGUG